ACAAAAGCGUAUGUGCUGUGAGCUCGAUGAGUAGGGCGGGACACGUGGUAUCCUGUCUGAAUAUGGGGGGACCAUCCUCCAAGGCUAAAUACUCCUGACUGACCGAUAGUGAACCAGUACCGUGAGGGAAAGGCGAAAAGAACCCCGGCGAGGGGAGUGAAAAAGAACCUGAAACCGUGUACGUACAAGCAGUGGGAGCCCCACCACUAAGCCAGUGGUGAACUCCACAUACGCAUCCUUUGCUGAGGAUACGGUUAACGGAGCGAAAGCGACGUUCAACCGCAAAAGAAGCAGAGGGGGCUUAGUGGUGGGGUGACUGCGUACCUUUUGUAUAAUGGGUCAGCGACUUAUAUUCUGUAGCAAGGUUAACCGAAUAGGGGAGCCGGAGGGAAACCGAGUCUUAAUUGGGCGUUAAGUUGCAGGGUAUAGACCCGAAACCCGGUGAUCUAGCCAUGGGCAGGUUGAAGGUUGGGUAACACUAACUGGAGGACCGAACCGACUAAUGUUGAAAAAUUAGCGGAUGACCUGUGGCUGGGGGUGAAAGGCCAAUCAAACCGGGAGAUAGCUGGUUCUCCCCGAAAGCUAUUUAGGUAGCGCCUCGUGAAUUCAUCUCCGGGGGUAGAGCACUGUUUCGGCUAGGGGGCCAUCCCGGCUUACCAACCCGAUGCAAACUGCGAAUACCGGAGAAUGUUAUCACGGGAGACACACGGCGGGUGCUAACGUCCGUCGUGAAGAGGGAAACAACCCAGACCGCCAGCUAAGGUCCCAAAGUCAUGGUUAAGUGGGAAACGAUGUGGGAAGGCCCAGACAGCCAGGAUGUUGGCUUAGAAGCAGCCAUCAUUUAAAGAAAGCGUAAUAGCUCACUGGUCGAGUCGGCCUGCGCGGAAGAUGUAACGGGGCUAAACCAU
rnacentral:rRNA from 1 species